AUAGGCGGUUUAAUAAGUGAAUAGUGAAACCUGGUGGCUCAACCAUACAGACUAUUAUUCAAACUGUUAAACUCGAGAAUGGUAGAGGUAACNUGGAAUUUCUAGUGUAGGAGUGAAAUCCGUAGAUAUUAGAAGGAACACCGAUGGCGUAGGCAGGUUACUGGGCCAUUUCUGACGCUAAGGCACGAAAGCGUGGGGAGCGAACCGGAUUAGAUACCCGGGUAGUCCACGCCGUAAACGAUGGAUACUAGCNUGUUGGAGGUAUCGACCCCUUCAGUAGCGAAGCUAACGCGUUAAGUAUCCCGCCUGUGGAGUACGGCCGCAAGGCUAAAACAUAAAGGAAUUGACGGGGACCCGCACAAGCGGUGGAUUAUGUUCUUUAAUUCGAUGAUAACCGAAGAACCUUACCAGGGCUUGACAUCCAGGGAAGGUCUGCGAAAGUAGACUGUGCCUUUUGGAACCCUGUGACAGGUGAUGCAUGGCCGUCGUCAGCUCGUGUCGUGAGAUGUUAGGUUAAGUCCUUCAACGAGCGCAACCCUUGUGAAUAGUUGUAUUUUUCUAUUCAGACUGCCCCGGUAACGGGGAGGAAGGAGGGGNAUGAUGUCAGGUCAGUAUUUCCCUUACGUCCUGGGCUAGAAACGUAAUACAAUGGCUAGUACAAUGCGCAGCGAAGCCGCGAGGUGA
rnacentral:rRNA from 1 species